CAGCGAGAGAACGUUGCCGCAGGCAACGGCCCGAAGGGCGAGGCGCUUUAGCGCCGAGUAAUCCUUCCCCCACCACCA
rnacentral:sRNA from 1 species